rnacentral:rRNA from 1 species
UACGGAAGGCAGCAGUGGGGAAUAUUGCACAAUGGGCGAAAGCCUGAUGCAGCUAUGCCGCGUGUAUGAAGAAGGCCUUAGGGUUGUAAAGUACUUUCAUCGGGGAGGAAAAAACAAAACUAAUAAUUUUAUUUCUUGACGUUACCCGAAAAAGAAGCACCGGCUAACUCCGUGCCAGCAGCCGCGGUAAUACGGAGGGUGCUAGCGUUAAUCAGAAUUACUGGGCGUAAAGAGCACGUAGGUGGUUUUUUUAAGUCAGAUGUGAAAUCCCUGGGCUUAACCUGGAACUGCAUUUUGAAACUGAAAUACUAGAGUAUCGUAGAGGGAGGUAGAAUUCUAGGUGUAGCGGUGAAAUGCGUAGAUAUCUGGAGGAAUACCUGUGGCGAAAGCGGCCUCCUAAACGAAUACUGACACUGAGUGCGAAAGCGUGGGAGCAAACAGGGAUUAGAUACC